rnacentral:rRNA from 1 species
CGGGACGCGGCGCCGGCUUAAGUCCCUUGGAACGGGGCGUCAUAGAGGGUGAGAAUCCCGUACGUGACCGGUGACCAAGCCCGUGUGAAACUCCUUCGACGAGUCGAGUUGUUUGGGAAUGCAGCUCAAAAUGGGUGGUAAAUUUCAUCUAAAGCUAAAUACUGGCCAGAGACCGAUAGCGCACAAGUAGAGUGAUCGAAAGAUGAAAAGCACUUUGGAAAGAGAGUCAAACAGUACGUGAAAUUGUUGAAAGGGAAGCGCUUGCAACCAGACCUGCCCGCGGGCGAUCAGCCGUCCCUUCGGGGCGGUGCACGCGCCCGUGAACAGGCCAGCAUCGGUUCGGGCGGCCGGAUAAAGGCCCUGGGAACGUAGCUCCUCUCGGGGAGUGUUAUAGCCCUCGGCGCAAUGCGGCCAGCCUGGACCGAGGACCGCGCUUCGGCUAGGAUGCUGGCGUAAUGGUUGUAAGCGGCCCGUCUUGAAACACGGACCAAGGAGUCUAACAUCUAUGCGAGUGUUUGGGCGUGAAACCCAGGCGCGCAAUGAAAGUGAACGGAGGUGGGAACCCCUCGAGGGCGCACCAUCGACCGAUCCUGAUGUCUUCGGAUGGAUUUGAGUACGAGCAUAGCUGUUGGGACCCGAAAGAUGGUGAACUAUGCCUGAAUAGGGUGAAGCCAGAGGAAACUCUGGUGGAGGCUCGCAGCGGUUCUGACGUGCAAAUCGAUCGUCAAAUUUGGGUAUAGGGGCGAAAGACUAAUCGAACCAU